rnacentral:rRNA from 1 species
UGGGGAAUAUUGGACAAUGGGCGAAAGCCUGAUCCAGCCAUGCCGCGUGUGUGAAGAAGGUCUUCGGAUUGUAAAGCACUUUAAGUUGGGAGGAAGGGCAGUAAGCGAAUACCUUGCUGUUUUGACGUUACCGACAGAAUAAGCACCGGCUAACUCUGUGCCAGCAGCCGCGGUAAUACAGAGGGUGCAAGCGUUAAUCGGAAUUACUGGGCGUAAAGCGCGCGUAGGUGGUUCGUUAAGUUGAAUGUGAAAGCCCCGGGCUCAACCUGGGAACUGCAUCCAAAACUGGCGAGCUAGAGUAGGGCAGAGGGUGGUGGAAUUUCCUGUGUAGCGGUGAAAUGCGUAGAUAUAGGAAGGAGCACCAGUGGCGGAGGCGACCACCUGGGCUCAUACUGACACUGAGGUGCGAAAGCGUGGGGAGCAAACAGG